CCUACGGGUGGCAGCAGUGAGGAAUAUUGGUCAAUGGGCGCGAGCCUGAACCAGCCAAGUAGCGUGAAGGAUGACUGCCCUACGGGUUGUAAACUUCUUUUAUAAAGGAAUAAAGUGAGGCACGUGUGCCUUUCUGUAUGUACUUUAUGAAUAAGGAUCGGCUAACUCCGUGCCAGCAGCCGCGGUAAUACGGAGGGUCCGAGCGUUAUCCGGAUUUCUUGGGUUGAAAGGGAGCUUAGAUGGGUUGGUAAGUCAGUUGUGAAAGUUUGCGGCUCAACCGUAAAAUUGCAAUUGAUACUGGCAGCCUUGAGUGCAGGAGAGGUAGGCGGAAUUCGUGGUGUAGCGGUGAAAUGCUUAGAUAUCACGAAGAACUCCGAUGGCGAAGGCAGCCUACUGAACUGCCACUGACGUUGAUGCUCGAAAGUGUGGGUAUCAAACAGGAUUAGAUACCCUAGUAGUC
rnacentral:rRNA from 1 species